GAAAUUCAAAAUCCAAUGCCUAUAAAGGGCAUGCAAACAAAUGGGUUAGACACCAAGGGCGGUCAUAGCUCCCUUCCUCUCUCUCUCUCUCUCUCUCUCUCUCUCUCUCUCUCUCUCUCUCUCUCUCUCUCUCUCUCUUGUAGUUUCUCCCUCUCUUCCAUAGCGGCAACGCCAGAAUAGCUCAGCGAUGGCAGCGGAACACCUCAAGACCUACCCAGUCAAAUUGAUGAAGAUGAACGGAAGUUGAUUUCUUAUACGAUCAAACUAAAACUUUACUAGGAUAGUAGCCUCAUCAUAGCAGCAGUGGAGUCAUCGAUGCCUACAUAAUCAACUUGAUGAAAACGAUCAGAUAGUGAUUUCUUAUAAAGAGGGAGAUUGCCGAGUUUGUGCAACAGUGCUUGAUGUGCCAGCAGGUUAAGGCUGAGCUCCAAAGAAUGGUGAGAUAGUUGUAGCAACUUCACAUCCCUGAGUGGAAGUGGGAUCAUAUUUCUAUCUUCUUUACCGACACCCACCAUCUCUCUGCCUCCCCUGACAACUUGAACAUUGCAAAGGUUACCUUCUGCUUCUCUAUGCAGUUCAGAACAUCUAGAAUCUUCUCGAUCUAUUCGAUCCAAUUCUCAUAUCGAAUCGGAUCUGCACUUCCUAUAAAAUCCCAAGGUUUCAGUCUAGUAAACAAAUCAAUGGAGCAUCCAAUCUUAGUUGUAGGACGUUCUUGCCCCCUAUUCGUUCACACCACCUCAGCCAUAAGUUGUUGUGUGAAAUCCUGCAAUACAUUCGUAGUGUCACUGCCAGCCUUAUGGCUGGAACCCUCACUACUACUGCCUCCCACAUUGGCAGUAUUGUCCUUGGAUUCCAUCCUGAAAAACAAUUGUGAAAAUCGAUUAAAAGAGUAAUAGCCUAAGUAUCAGCUAAUACUACAAUACUACAGACUCAGUUCCCUAAAUCCAUAUUCUUAAUAUUGACAUACUCCAUCAAUUUAACAUCCUCAUUCUAACUCAAGUUCCGCCCUUCCACUUAGAAACAAAACCGUCAAUGGAUUGCCAUGAUUUUUUGAACCUUUCGAUUCAUCCAAAAAAACAUAGAAGUCUGUCAAUGCAUUUCUAUUUCCAGGUAUACAAAGCGAAACUCAAAUGUAAUGCCUUGGCCCAUUAUACAGCUCCAGAGUGCUACUACACCUGUAUAAUACACCUAUCUCUGAUAAACAUACAUACACAACUUGCCCUAAAUAGGGACAUACGGGUAUUUCAUACUAAUCUGACAUCUCAUUCAUAGCGGAAAACAUAAACAUCCAUAUGGAAAAUCUAAAAGACAUACCAGAGCUUCUAGUUGUAUCCUCAAAUACAUAAGAUCGUACUUUAAAACAUAACCUGUUCUCAAAAUCUCCAAAAGAUAUUCUAGACUGAGUCUAUUACAUAUACAGAACACUUACUAAGCUAAAAUCAAAACGACCCUUCAAGUCCCUCUAGCAACAAGGAUUGAUGUCCUAUAGGACCUAAAACAAAGGUUGUACGUUGGGGUGAGGCACUUCUUAGUAAGGUGGACGAUAUUACAUCAGUGUGUGACUACAUGCGUUUAUUUCAAUUGAAAGUAGAUACAUAUAAGGCAUAUUCUCAAUGCUGUAAUAUUGGAGAGUUCCCGAGGUUAGAGUUGGGUACAGGCCCAUACACUAUACGAUCUCUAUGCCCCGUACUCAAACCUAUGACUUUGCCCAUUUUAGUUUUCAAAUCAUAAAUAUGCAUAUUUAGAACACUAUCCAUUUUCGAUACAAUAAUAACAAAUGCCAACACAUUAAAUCCCUUGGCUUCGAGUUAGGUGAUUUACUAUAGUCCGACUAGUACCACCUAGUCCAUUAAUCCACCAGUGGCAACUCCAAUAUCCAACCAACUAUCUCGAUACCCACACUGAAAAUCAUAUGUGUGCUUGCACUGUAUCUAAUAUAUAUAAAGCAACAGAACCGCGCUUAACAUUGAGCUUUUUAAGGCUCUCUUAUAACGGUGAGCUUUUUAGGGCUCUCAUAUAACGGUGAGCUUUUUAGGGCUCUCAUACAAUUACAGUAUUUUCACAAACUCAUACAAUUGUACUGUGGCAUAAACUAGCACAAAACCUCUUGGUUUAACCCAUUUUACGUUUAUAGCUCGGUUUAUAACCGGCACUAAUUUUCCACAUUUUUCACAUUGCAAAAUGGAACUCCAAUUCCCACAAUUCAGAUAUGCAUUUAAAAAGAUUCACAUAUUCCAUUUCAUAUCAUAUGUCACACUAGUUUGAUCAAAAAUCCUAUAUACUAUAUAACUCGAUAAAUAUCAUUUAAAUGAAAAAUAAAGGGUUCAAGCAUUCCUCUAUUAAGAUUAAUGCAAAUAAAGAGGUUUUUGAAAAGUUUGGAGAUCACACGUCAAAACCCUCUUUUUGACCAACAUUGUAAAAUUGUAAAACCGGCAUUUUUACUCGGUGAAACUCCGCAUCGCAAAUGAGCAGUCAUAUCAUGCAUAUAAACAUAAGCUAACUUUUUAAUGGUUUAGUUUUAUUAAAAAACUUAUGUAAACAAAUCCACUUACCCUUUUCUUAUUUAUUUUCCUUAUUUACGAGUUCGGGUCUCUACAUUACACACAUGUUGGACAAAUUGCUGAAAUGGAAUAUGGUUUUCACUGAAAAUUACAUCCCUAGAGAUGUAGACCCAGCUGAAUGGAAGAUGAAGACCUUGAUAUCCCUUAUGAUCUGGAAUGUAUCCCAUAAACACACAAAGUGUGGAUCUAAGGUCUAAUUUAUUAUGAUUGUAUGGAUGCAAAUUUGGCUAACAUGCUACGCCAAAGAUCUGAAGAAAAUUGUAAUGAGGUUUUUUUUUUUUUUUUUAUAAAGUAGCUGAAAAAGAAAUUAUUUUUUAAAAUUGGUGUGGACAUUUUAUUUAUAAGAAAAACCAAAGUUUGAAAUGCCUCGGACUAGUAUUUUGUUGGCAUACAUGCCUAAGUUAAAAGAGAUAGUCUAGUUUCAACAAUAUAAUGGUGAUGACGCUCAACUGUCCCAUUUUGAGCAUGGGAAUAUAGACAUGUGAGGUGAUGAACCAAAUUAUUGAAGAAUUUGCCUAGUUGUUCUAAGUUCACCACCCCUGUCUGUUUGCACAAUUUUAAUUUUUGAGGAAAAUUAAUUAUAGAUAUAAUUUUAAAAGGCAAUAAAAUUUGAAGAAACAUCAAAUUUAGAUUGAAUCAAAAAACAUCAAAUAUAUUUAGAGAAAUCAUCAAUGAUAGACAAGUAAAAUCUACAACCAUUCAAGGAUAAAAUAGGGUCUGGACCCCACACAUCUAGGAAGAGUAACUCAAAUGGAUGUAAGGACCUAGAGCGUGAUGAAUAAUGAGGAAGUGCAUGUGCUUUUCCUUGAUAACAUGUUGAGCAAUGUGAAAAAGGUUUGUGAGAAUUUAUUGGAAGCUUAAGCUUACUAAUGAUGAAAGAGGUAGUUUUUGGGGAUGCAUGUCCAAGUCUGAGAUGCCAUAGGUAUAAAGAAGUGGGUUCGCCAAUGUAUACUUGAGGAGAGGUUGAAACUGAAGCUGUAGUGGUGCUAUCCAUAGGUAAGACACACAAGCCAUUUUCAAUGUUUCCCUAAAGUAUAACCCUUGGAGUUUGUAAAUCCUUCACAAGAAAAUAAUUGGAAUGAAACUCAAAGUAAACGAAAUUGUCAUAGCAAAAUUAACGAACAUACAACAAAUUUUUUUUGUAAUUCAAGGAACAAGGGGAAGUUGAUAAAGAUGAAAUUUUCUAGUGGGAGUGUGCAAAUGAGCAAAACAUGUAUGAUGUAUAGGCAUCAUAGAACCAUCUUCGAUGCUUAUUUGAUUUGAGCCCUGAUAUGAAGAAGAAUCCAAGUUUAGGUUGCUAAACACAUAAGUGAAAUAUGAUGGGUUGUGGUAGUGUCAGGAAACCAAGAAUGAAUAUUCUGUGGGGUGGAAGGAAGAGUGGUGAUAUUUGCCGAUAAUGAGGGAGGUGGAGCUAUUUGAAAGCUAUGAUCAAAUUCGUGCAAACAGACCAAGGCUGAGUAGCCGGGUUUGUGACACACUUGACACAGGGGCCAGACACCCUAAUUUUAACCAGUCCUUUUUAAAGAGACCCUGCGUAAUAAGAAGUCGACCCUGUAUCCCGGGAAUUGGAGGAUCUAUUUUGAAAAAUCUGGUUGAGUCCUGAAUCUUUGAAAUUGUGUCCUUUAAUUUAAAAAUUAAUAUUUCUUUUUUUAAAAAAAUUGAGUUUUUCUUAUUUUUAAUUGUGUUCUUUAAUUUCAAAAUUGAGCUUUUAAUAUUGAGUCCCAUAUAUUUUUAAAUUUGAGUCCCUUUUAUUUUAAAAUUGAGUCCCAAAUAUUUUUAAAUUGAGUCCAUGAUAUUUUUAAAUUUGAGUCCCUUUUAUUUUAAAAUUGUGUCCCAAAUAUUUUUAAAUUAAGUCCCGGAUAUUUUUUAAUUUUAGUCCCUUUUAUUUUAAAAUUGAGUCCUAGGUAUUUUUAAACUUUGAGUCCCGAAUUAUUUUUAAGUCCUGGAUAUUUUUAAAUUUGAGUCCCUUUUUAAAAUUGUGUCUUAGAUAUUUUAAAUUGAGUCCCGACUAUUUUUAAAUUGAGUCCAUUUUAUUUUAAAUUUGAGUCCCUGUUAUUUUUAAAUUAAGUCCUAUUUAUUUUAAAAUUUGAGUCCCUUUAAUUUUUAAAUUAAGUCUUGGAUAUUUUUAAAAUAAGUUAUGGAUAUUUUAAAAUCGAACCUCAGAUAUUUUGAAAUUGGGUCUUUUUAUUUUCAGGAAUUAAAUAAUGCCCCACAAUACAAUCAAGUUUUCAUAUUUUAUAUGAGAAUACAAAUACAGGAGAAUAUGCCCGAAUAUCCAAUGCCAAAGGGAAUAUUCCAUAAUAUCCAAUGCCAAAGGGAAUAUGCCAAAAUAUCCAAAUUUGUAUUAAUUGAGGAAUCUGCAGAUUAAGAAAUGAAUUUCAAAAUCAUAUGCCUAUAAAAGGGCAUCCAAACAAAUGGGUUAGACACCAAGGGUGGUCGUAGCCCCCUUCCUCUCUCUCUCUCUCUCUCUUGUAGUUUCUCCCUCUCUUCCAUAGCAGCAGCACCAGAAUAGCUCAGCGAUGGCAGCGGAACACCUCACGACCCACCUAGUCAAAUUGAUGAAGACGAACGGAAGAUAGUAGCCUCAUCAUAGCAGCAGUGGAGUCAUCGAUGCCUACAUAAUCAACUUGAUGAAAACGAUCAGAUAGUGAUUUCUUAUAAAGAGGGAGAUUGCCGAGUUUGUGCAACAGUGCUUGAUGUGCCAGCAGGUUAAGGCUGAGCUCCAAAGAAUGGUGAGAUAGUUGUAGCAACUUCACAUCCCUGAGUGGAAGUGGGAUCAUAUUUCUAUGGAUUUCAUGACGAGUUUACCGUCAGUGCAGCACGGACAGAAUGCUAUUUGGGUGGUCAUAAAUUGACUGACAAACACCACUCACUUUAUUGCUAUCAAAGUCAACUACUCCAUGGAUAGACUGGCUUAACUAUAUAUUCAAGAGAUAGUACGAUCACAUGGUGUGCCAGUGUCUAUAGUAUCAAACCAAGACCCACGUUUCACGUCACAUUUUUGGAGGAGCUUGCGGGAAGCUCUGAGGUCUCAGUUAUUAUUUAGCAUGACGUUUCAUCUUCAUACUGACGGGCAAUCAGAGAGGACGAUUCAAAUAUUAGAGGAUAUUCUACGAGCAUGCAUGCUAGAUUUUGGGUGUAGUUGGACCCAGUUUAUGCCGCUGGUAAAGUUUGCAUAUAAUAACAGCUAUCAAGCCAACAUCGGCAUGGCACCUUACGAGGCAUUAUAUGGUAGGAGGUAUCGUUCUCUAUUAUACUGGGAUGAGAUAGGUGAAAGGCAAGUUUUGGGACCAAAGUUAGUGUAGCCGGCAUACGAAAAAUUCCAACUUAUUAAAGAAAGAAUCAGUGCAGCUCAGAGUCAACAGAAAGGCUACGCAGAUACUCGCCGCCGGAAGUUGGAAUUUGAAGUGGAAAACCAUGUAUAUCUUAAAAUAGCAUCACUAAAAGGAACUAUGAGGUUUGGGAGGAAGGGUAAGUGGAGCCCUAGGUUUAUUGGCCCUUUCGAGAUACUUGAAAGAGUGGGGUUAGUUGCCUAUCAUCUAGUUUUACCAAUUUUAUCUAGAAUACAUGAAGUACUUCAUGUUUCCAUGCUGAAAAAAUACAUCUCAGAUCCCUUCCAUAUGGUCAAGUUUUCAGAGAUACAACUCAGAGAUUCACUAGUUUGUGAGGAGAUACCAGUACAGAUCUGAGACAGCAAAUGAACAGGAAUUGCACUGUAAGAAAAUUUCAUUGCUAAAAGUCUUGUGAAAAAAUCACACAGUGGAAGAAGCUUCUUAGGAGCUUGAAGAAGAAAUACGAUAGAAUACCCGCACCUAUUUAGUGGGGACCAGCAGUAAUCAGGAAAAAUGUAGAUAAGUAUGUUAAAUUUCUUUUAUGCAGGAUAAUCAAUACAUGUAAUAAUUUUUUGUUAGUAGGUAGUGUUUUGGUUUUGGGAGAAUUUUUCUUUUAUGUAUUUGUAAUCUUCCAGAACUCUAAAUGUAACCAUGGUAUUCCUCUACCAUAAAUGAGGGUAAGUAAUAAAAUAAGUAGCCUAUUUUCCUCAAAA